AUGAACGCUGGCGGCGUGCCUAAUACAUGCAAGUCGAGCGAACGGACGAGAAGCUUGCUUUUCUGAUGUUAGCGGCGGACGGGUGAGUAACACGUGGAUAACCUACCUAUAAGACUGGGAUAACUUCGGGAAACCGGAGCUAAUACCGGAUAAUAUUUUGAACCUCAUGGUUCAAAAGUGAAAGACGGUCUUGCUGUCACUUAUAGAUGGAUCCGCGCUGCAUUAGCUAGUUGGUAAGGUAACGGCUUACCAAGGCAACGAUGCAUAGCCGACCUGAGAGGGUGAUCGGCCACACUGGAACUGAGACACGGUCCAGACUCCUACGGGAGGCAGCAGUAGGGAAUCUUCCGCAAUGGGCGAAAGCCUGACGGAGCAACGCCGCGUGAGUGAUGAAGGUCUUCGGAUCGUAAAACUCUGUUAUUAGGGAAGAACAUAUGUGUAAGUAACUGUGCACAUCUUGACGGUACCUAAUCAGAAAGCCACGGCUAACUACGUG
rnacentral:rRNA from 1 species